CGAGGAAGCAAACAUAAUUAGGGGUAUUGGUACGUCUAUUUGCAGGCUCUAACAUGUCUGGAUUGUACUGUAUAUUAGAAGUACGCCCACACCACAAGGUGAAAAGGCACAGGCUUGUUUACCCACACAGUGACUUCAGGGUUGAUUGCAAGGCAAAACUCUGGUUCUGUUUGUUCCAUGCCAACCACUGUUUUUUUUCCGACAAGGACAGAGUGGAACCCAAAUUAUAAGAAUUGGAACCCCAUGCUAUACGAAUACCUUUGUAACAAGGGGAUCUUUACUAACUAAGGAAAAUAAUCUAACAUGGCAAAGAGAAGACCAUGUGUCUCUGUGGCUUUGACUGACCCCCAGUGCUUUACUCUGAGGCUCUUUAGGGUUUUCAGCUACAUUCCAUGACAAACAUCUAAAACAGCCAUAGCCCUCCUCCUUCCCCAGGUCAGAACUGCAGCACCCCAGGUCAUCCUUGACAAACAGGAUUGCUGUUCACCUCAAAGACACCCCCCCCUACCCAUGGGAACCAAGAAUCAGCUGCAUUCACUGAAAGAAGUGCCUCCCCCUAGAGAACAUGCAAAAGAUUUAGUAAAAACCACAAUGAAUACAAAGCACACUGUGCCUAUAGGCAAAGGCAGAAACACAAAGACAUGUUUGUAAAAUACAGUCAUACUUUGUUAUGCAUGAUAAUUAAAAACAACCAUUCGAUA